rnacentral:lncRNA from 1 species
CACUCCACCAAGAACGCCCACAAGGUGUUCGACGAAUUGCCCAAGUCAAGUUUGGGGGGAAUUUUGCACAUCAAUUCACGUAUAAUCCCGACGAUGGUCCCGACAUUUAAAACAGGUGUUUUCUAUCCUUAAACUCCGGGCAAAUCACAUUGAGGGCAAUGUGAAUUUUAAGUUUGGGGGUGGUUAACUACUUGUUUUCAUUUAUGUGCUUUAUGUGUGUUUUAUUUUUUUUUAUUGUGC